GAAAAGUAUAAAAAGGAAAACUAUACAUCUCAGAUGAUUAUAGAUGAAAAAAAACGUGCAUAAUUCAAUCCCAUAAAUUAGUCCAAUAAAAAAUUCAUAAUAAUUACAAAGUAAAAAUUAUCAAGGGAAUUAAGGUUCAAUGAUGAUAAUUUUUACAUUAUUUAGCCUUAAUUCCCUUGAUAAUUUUUACAUCAUUAAGGUUAGAUAAUGUACAGUAACAUAUUUCCACAAAACUCUUUGCCCAAGAAUGAAGGCAGAAAUUCAGGCUAUCACUAGCUUUCAAAACAAGAUAUUAAACUUUCAAUCAACACAGUCCCAUGACUCUUUUACUCAAUGAAAAAUGACAUUAUAACAUAGCCUAAUGAUACCUGGAUUCAGAUGUGUCUGGCACCUAGCAACAUAUAAU
rnacentral:lncRNA from 1 species